rnacentral:rRNA from 1 species
AUCGUAACUCCUACGGGAGGCAGCAGUGGGGAAUAUUGCGCAAUGGGCGAAAGCCUGACGCAGCGACGCCGCGUGGGGGAUGACGGCCUUCGGGUUGUAAACCUCUUUCGACCGGGACGAAGAGUGAUUGACGGUACCGGUAGAAGAAGCACCGGCCAACUACGUGCCAGCAGCCGCGGUAACACGUAGGGUGCGAGCGUUGUCCGGAAUUAUUGGGCGUAAAGAGCUCGUAGGCGGUGUGUCGCGUCGGCCGUGAAAACCUGGGGCUCAACCCUGGGCUUGCGGUCGAUACGGGCAUCACUUGAGUUCGGCAGGGGAGACUGGAAUUCCUGGUGUAGCGGUGAAAUGCGCAGAUAUCAGGAGGAACACCGGUGGCGAAGGCGGGUCUCUGGGCCGAUACUGACGCUGAGGAGCGAAAGCGUGGGGAGCGAACAGGAUUAGAAACCCUAGUAGUCCUAGAGC